AGCGAACGCUGGCGGCAUGCCUAACACAUGCAAGUCGAACGAACUCUUCGGAGUUAGUGGCGGACGGGUGAGUAACACGUGGGAACGUGCCCUUUGGUUCGGAAUAACUCAGGGAAACUUGUGCUAAUACCGAAUGUGCCCUUCGGGGAAAGAUUUAUCGCCAUUAGAGCGGCCCGCGUCUGAUUAGCUUGUUGGUGAGGUAACGGCUCACCAAGGCGACGAUCAGUAGCUGGUCUGAGGGAAUGACCAGCCACACUGGGACUGAGACGCGGCCCAGACUCCUACGGGAGGCAGGAAAGGGGAAUCUUGCGCAAUGGGCGAAAGGCUGACGCAGCCAUGCCGCGUGAAUGAUGAAGGUCUUAGGAUUGUAAAAUUCUUUCACCGGGGACGAUAAUGACGGUACCUGGAGAAGAAGCCCCGGCUAACUUCGUG
rnacentral:rRNA from 1 species